UACGUAGGGUGCGAGCGUUAAUCGGAAUUACUGGGCGUAAAGCGUGCGUAGGCGGUUCGUUGUGUCUGUGGUGAAAGCCCCGGGCUUAACCUGGGAAUGGCCAUGGAAACUGGCGAGCUGGAGUGUGGCAGAGGGGGGUGGAAUUCCGCGUGUAGCAGUGAAAUGCGUAGAGAUGCGGAGGAACACCGAUGGCGAAGGCAGCCCCCUGGGCUAACACUGACGCUGAGGCACGAAAGCGUGGGGAGCAAACGGG
rnacentral:rRNA from 1 species